rnacentral:misc_RNA from 1 species
AAGUCGUAACAAGGUUUCCGUAGGUGAACCUGCGGAAGGAUCAUUAUUGAAAUAAACCUGAUGGGUUGCUGCUGGUUCUCUAGGGAGCAUGUGCACACUUGUCAUCUUUAUAUCUCCACCUGUGCACCUUUUGUAGACCUGGAUAUCUUUCUGGAUGCCUAUGCAUUCAGGUUUGAGGAUUGACUUUGCAGUCUUUCCUUACAUUUCCAGGGCUAUGUUUCUUCAUAUACCCCAAUGUAUGUCAUAGAAUGUAAUAAAUGGGCCUUUGUGCCUAUAAAUCUAUACAACUUUCAGCAACGGAUCUCUUGGCUCUC